rnacentral:lncRNA from 1 species
AUGAUUCGAAACAUUCCGAAUCACUGCCGUUUUUUCUCUUCCGGUUACCAGGCCUAUCAUCUCCGUCUACGUUUGGUUUCAGCUACUGGAUACUGGAGUGAAAUAUUUGUUGGAAUUUGUGGAUCAACUGAAAUAACUGAAUACAACGGGUCAAAUCUCACACUAUAUAAAGUGUAAAGUUAUCGUGUGUUGUAGCUUGUAAUAGAUUAACUAGACCCCUCAAGUUGUCAUUCAUAACAACUAAGCGUCUGGAGAAGAGUAUGUUGAUAUAGGAGAGUUGAUGCAAUUUUACAAGCAUUUUAUCGUGUGUUGUAAUUUUAAUGAACUUCGUCAACACACAAAGUGACAGAAUGAAGCAAUGAAGAUUGAAUAUGCACUAGGGUUUUUUCUCUUCCGGUUACCAGGCCUAUCAUU